AUCUAGGAUAUUUACAUAUGUACACAACUCUUCAAAGUGUACAAACGAAACAUUUAAGUAACGUUGAUAACAAAUAUAAAAAUAUUCUUUUAAUAGUAUAUUGAGUUCUGUUUAGAUUUUUAUGAAACUAUAACAUUAGUAUUGCAAGAUUUAUCACUGGGAGGUCCUCAAAUAGCUGCUUCAGAACAUAUCUUAUUUCAGAAAAUGCCUCAUAUAAACAUUAAUGCCCGUAUGUCUAAAUGUGGUAUGUUUCAAGUGAUUGUUGUUUAAAUUUCUGUUGUGGAUGUCUUAGGAUCUCUGAAUUGUUCUUUCAACAAAUAAAACAAAAUAGGGUAAAUACUUACCAUCUGGCAUCCUUAUUCUGUUGGUACAUCUCCCAAGUAUAGCAUAAAAUUAAAAUAUAGCAUACCAAAAUCAAAGGCAGAGGGAAAAAAAAAGUUGUUAUUGUCAAAUAAAGUGUAUACCUGUAAGAUGAGAGAGAGAGAAGACAUGGCUGUUACAUUCACAUUGCCAGGAACUGGCUUUUACAGUUUAUGAGGCAUAAUUUUCUAAUUUCUCAGGGCUCAGGAUAAAAGUCUUUGGGGGGAAAGUUAAGGAUCUUGGCUGCUUUUAUGGAGAGAAGUCUUGCUCUUCAUUAUUUGCCAACAAUGGUGCUCAUCUGUUCUCUAGCCAAGCCCAGCACUACUGAGUACAAACAGGUGAGAAUACAUAUUAUCACCAUUAUCUUUAGUGUUAUGUACAACAAUAUGGAGCAGCAAGUAGCAUUUAUUAUAUAGUAUAUGCUGAUCUGAGUACUUGACGUAUUUUAAUCCACUGAAUCUGCUCAAUGCCAUGAUUACAAUUGCCAUUAGUAUUCUCCUGUUAUAGAAGAGCAAACUAAGGCACAGAGGGGUUAAGUGGCUUGCCUAAGGGUAUCCAGCUAGUAAGUAGGAGAGGUGGGAUUUGAAUCCACAAGAGAGUUGAGUUGCACAGCCCACCAUUGUAAUCAAGACCCCCGAUGGCCUCUCAAAGGGCCUGUUGUGAAAUGAGCCAGUCUUUUCCUUGAGAUCCCCUGGGGAAAAUUCUCAGGUUACCCUCUCCUUAAAAUCAGGCUACCAACUUGAUUGUGGAAAGCAGAAAGCGAAGCGGGGAGACUGCCCCUUAGAGGAUCCCCAAGGACACUGUGUGCAGCUGCCCACGUGUUGACAAGGAGGAUGAAGCACUUCACUUAAUUCAACUCUAUUUUUCUUAAGUUUUAACAACCUACCGGAGUACAUCGUCAGGGGAUGUUAAAUCAAAAGCACAACUCUCCACGCCGUCUUUAAAUUUGAUGACCUUCGAGUAGACCCAGACAGGCAAUGCCAGAAUAAAGGAAGCUGCCCAAAGGCCCAAAUUGAUGCGGAUGGUCUUGUACCUCGUUCUCCAACUUGUAAGUCGAAAUGGUUGGACGAGAGCCAAGUACCUGCAAAGCCAGUUAAGAAGGGUUUGGGAACAAUCAAUAAAACGCUGAGCUGCCAGGAUGAAAGGUUCA